rnacentral:rRNA from 1 species
UACGUAGGGUGCGAGCGUUGUCCGGAAUUAUUGGGCGUAAAGAGCUCGUAGGCGGUGUGUCGCGUCGGCCGUGAAAACCUGCAGCUUAACUGUGGGCUUGCGGUCGAUACGGGCAUCACUGGAGUUCGGUAGGGGAGACUGGAAUUCCUGGUGUAGCGGUGAAAUGCGCAGAUAUCAGGAGGAACACCGAUGGCGAAGGCAGGUCUCUGGGCCGAUACUGACGCUGAGGAGCGAAAGCGUGGGAGCGAACAGG